CACACCGCCCGUCACACCAUGGGAGUUGGUUUCACCCGAAGGUGGUGCGCUAACCCGCAAGGGAGGCAGCCAACCACGGUGAGAUUCAUGACUGGGGUG
rnacentral:rRNA from 1 species